rnacentral:rRNA from 1 species
GACGUAGGGCGCGAGCGUUGUCCGGAUUUAUUGGGCGUAAAGAGCUCGUAGGCGGCUUGUCGCGUCGACUGUGAAAACCCGAGGCUCAACUUCGGGCUUGCAGUCGAUACGGGCAGGCUAGAGUUCGGUAGGGGAGACUGGAAUUCCUGGUGUAGCGGUGAAAUGCGCAGAUAUCAGGAGGAACACCGAUGGCGGAAGGC